rnacentral:rRNA from 1 species
CCUACGGGAGGCAGCAGGAGGGAAUCUUGCACAAUGGGCGAAAGCCUGAUGCAGCGACGCCGCGUGGGGGAUGAAGGCCCUAGGGUCGUAAACCCCUUUCAGGAGGGACGAUAAUGACGGUACCUCCAGAGAAGGCCCGGCCAACUACGUGCCAGCAGCCGCGGUAAGACGUAGGGGCCAAGCGUUGUCCGGAUUUAUUGGGCGUAAAGAGCUCGUAGGCGGUUGAGUAAGUCGGAUGUGAAAACUUGAGGCUCAACCUCAAGACGCCAUCCGAUACUGCGCUGACUUGAAUCCAGUAGGGGAGUGUGGAAUUCCUGGUGUAGCGGUGAAAUGCGCAGAUAUCAGGAGGAACACCUAUGGCGAAGGCAGCACUCUGGGCUGGUACUGACACUGAGGAGCGAAAGCAUGGGG